GAAAAUGCCAAGACACUCAUGAUGUUUACCACCCUCUGGUUCGAUGCCCUGGACUUUGUGAAGCUGCAAAGAGACUCCACGUUUCCAUUUCCAUGAGCAAUUUUGUAAAAGAAGAUUUGUUCUACAGCUAACCUGAAUCUAGCAAGUUCUACCGUGUGAGAGAAAAGAAUCCACCUAUGGGUGUGUCAUUUCUGAAGCCUCAGUUUUCAUUUUCUGAAUCAGAGAACCAGACUCACACUUUCUGAGCCGAGAAAUAGAGCGUGAAUCUUAGCGGCAAUCCUGGAUGGGGAGACAGCCUGGGAAACACACUGGAUGUUCAGAUGUUGGAAGUCGGGAACAAGUUACCAGCCAGAUUUCUGGAACAUCCCUGAUGUGCAAGGCCUUGUGAGCAGUGCCAACACCUGACCCUGCCUCACCUUCUAGGGGUCACCUGUAACUGGGAAGGAAGAUUUACAGCUCCUUGCCUCUGGGCUGGCUCAGACAAGCUGCUUGUAGCUACUGGAACCCACCAACUUCCAGGCUGAGGACCAGGCUGGCGGCUGUCACAUACCCACUGUAUACUUGGUCACACGUGGAAGCCAUGUUCAAGUCCGAAACCCUGGCCCUGCGGAUGUGAACUGACUUGUAAACAGGAUCUUUGAAGAUGACCAUGUGACGGAGGUUGAUUUUGGACCACCAGGGAGUUACAGGUGUCAGGGAAAGCCUGGCUGCUGAUGGCUUGAGUUUGGACUUCCAGUCUGCAAAACUGUGAGGCACUACCUUCCUGUUGUCUAAUCCAACCGCUCUGUCGUAUUUCUUUUAGCAACCUUGACAAACUAGGACACAUCAUCUCUGAAUGAGAAGUCCAUCUCCUAAAGAAAAAGCAACUUCUGGGCACCAAAAACCAGGCACAGACCAGAGUCCCCCACAAGGACAAGGAGUCCACUCCCAGAGGACACACAGGAGCCUUGGACUGCAUGUUGAAUGGAACAGCACCUUCCAUGAAGAGUGCCAAGGACCUGGUCCUGUCAGCUGGUGGCAGUGGUGACUUAUUUGUCUUCCUGACCACAGGACCCCUCAUGGAGGCUAUGUGACUGUGAAGAAGCCAAUAGAAGGACUGUGGAGAGCAGUGGCCACUUCUACACUCAGCCCACCCCCAGCCUCUCCGCCCCUUUCACCUGCUCCUCUGCGGAGGGCAGCCUUGAAGGGUGGGGUCAGUGUCUCAUCCAGCUCCAGGCUCCAGACUCCCAACCCUGUGCCUUUUGCAGGGAGAUGCUCCGUGAAGUUGGGGUAAAACUAAACAGAGACAGGAAGGGUCAUGAAAUUGUGAACUAGCAGAUCUCACCAUUCCAUCUGGGUCCUUAGAAAGCCCAGAUCUGAUCUUAAAAUCUCAUUGUUUCUCUACUAUAUUAAAGAUGUCCAGGCGCCUUGACUUAACAAUGAGGCCACACGAUCUUGCCCACUGGGCUGUCCUUGCCAACAACGCCAUCCUCUCCACACACCCUGCACUUCUGUGCCCUUGUCGAGCCAGCCCAGCUUCCCAAGAGCGGGGACUCCGGGCUGCACGGCCCUGAUGAGACCCGGGACUGGUCGAGGUUGGGGAAUCCGGCCGAGCUGUGGAUGCUGGGAAGUCAGGGCCUGUCAGAAGGACUCACAGACAGGACCGGUUUUGAGUC